AGUCACUGACAUUAGAUACCCCCGUAGUCCCAGCCGUAAACUAUGCUCGCUAGGUGUCAGGCAUGGCGCGACCGUGUCUGGUGCCGCAGGGAAGCCGUGAAGCGAGCCACCUGGGAAGUACGGCCGCAAGGCUGAAACUUAAAGGAAUUGGCGGGGAGCACAACAACGGGUGGAGCCUGCGGUUUAAUUGGACUCAACGCCGGACAACUCACCGGGGACGACAGCAAUAUGUAGGCCAGGCUGAAGACCUUGCCUGAAUCGCUG
rnacentral:rRNA from 1 species